rnacentral:rRNA from 1 species
GGAAUAUUGGGCAAUGGGCGCAAGCCUGACCCAGCAACGCCGCGUGAAGGAAGAAGGUUUUCGGAUCGUAAACUUCUGUCCUAUGAGAAGAUAAUGACGGUAACAUAGGAGGAAGCCCCGGCUAACUACGUGCCAGCAGCCGCGGUAAUACGUAGGGGGCGAGCGUUGUCCGGAAUGAUUGGGCGUAAAGGGCGCGUAGGCGGCCUGUUAAGUCUGGAGUGAAAGUCCUGUUUUCAAGAUGGGAAUUGCUUUGGAUACUGUCGGGCUUGAGUGUCGGAGAGGUAAGUGGAAUUCCCAGUGUAGCGGUGAAAUGCGUAGAGAUUGGGAGGAACACCAGUGGCGAAGGCGACUUACUGGACUGUAACUGACGCUGAGGCGCGAAAGUGUGGGGAGCAAACA